UACAGAGGGUGCAAGCGUUAAUCGGAAUUACUGGGCGUAAAGCGCGCGUAGGUGGUUUGUUAAGUUGAAUGUGAAAUCCCCGGGCUCAACCUGGGAACUGCAGUGGAUACUGGCGGACUAGAGUGUGAUAGAGGAUGGUGGAAUUCCCGGUGUAGCGGUGAAAUGCGUAGAGAUCGGGAGGAACACCAGUGGCGAAGGCGGCCAUCUGGAUCAACACUGACGCUGAGGCACGAAAGCGUGGGGAGCAAACAGG
rnacentral:rRNA from 1 species